rnacentral:rRNA from 1 species
AUUGAACGCUGGCGGCAGGCCUAACACAUGCAAGUCGAACGAGUGGCGGACGGGUGAGUAAUGUCUGGGAAACUUCCUGAUGGAGGGGGCUAACUACUGGAAACGGUAGCUAAUACCGCAUACCAUCGGAUGAGCCCAGAUGGGAUUAGCUUGUAGGUGGGGUAACGGCUCACCUAGGCGACUAUCCCUAGCUGGUCUGAGAGGAUGACCAGCCACAGUGGAACUGAGACACGGGCCAGACUCCUACGGGAGGUAGCAGUGGGGAAUAUUGCACAAUGGGCACAAGCCUGAGGCAGCCAUGCCGCGUGUAUGAAGAAGGCCUUCGGGUUGUAAAGGACUUUCAGCGGGGAGGCGUUACCCGCAGAAGAAGCACCGGCUAACUCCGUGCCAGCAGCCGCGGUAAUAC